GAGUGAGCCAUGUUUCCGUGAAAUAAAGAAUGUUACAAUCUCUGUCUCUCUGGAAGGCAACCCUUGCUCGUGUUGUCAAGAGACUGGACAUUGGCGAGUAGUAUACUCGGGAGCAGUGAGCGAUGUGCACGUCUACAGAGCCUGACUAGGAGGCCGCUCCGUCUGUCCCUUCUGCAGCGCCGUUGUUUUUGGUUCGGCAACUGGGAUUAAAUCCAUUGUCCUGGGUGGUGGUCCAAACAAAGAAUCCACUUCGGGAAAGUCGUAUUCCUGGUCGUAAUGUUGUUUUCUACUAGGGUAAAGAGCAGGGCCCUGUGGACCAUUGCUACUCAGUUGACAGAAAAUCCAAGGCAGGCUCAGUGACAACCUUCCGCCUCCCCACUACCCUACAGGACAAGGACCAGGCAGACACAACCCAUUCCUCUCUGCACUACCUCCGCCCCAGUGGACCCUCUAUGUUCUGUCCUAAGACCAUAAGCAGGAACAGGGACAGCCUUUGCCUUCCCCUUCUACCCAUGCCCCAGAGGAAACUCUCUAUCCAGUCUACAGAAGACCAUAGGCAGGCAGAAAGAGCCUGUUCCCCUCCCUCCUAACACCAAUGGACAGAACCUUCCUCUCUACCCCAAAGGACAGAAUACCAUAGGCAGACAGACUCAGGCCUCUACUCUCCCUACUACCCCAGAUGACAGAAGACCAUAAGCAGGCCAGGCAGACUCAGCCCUCUCCCCUCUCAACUCACCCCAUGGACAGAGAACCAUAGGGCAAAUACACUAUACACUGCGCUUUCCCCAGCGAACACAGACCUCUCUCCUCCCUAUUACCACCCCAUAGGACCAUGAGCAGACUGAUACAGCCCUCUUCCCUCCCUACUACCCCAGAGGACCAAUAGCAGCAUAAGACAUCCCCGAGGCCUGUUCCCCCUCCCUCCCCUCUCAGAAAGACUGGCGUGAUGAGUGACGGGUCCUCCUCCAGACAGCAUGUCUGGACCCACACUCCCUCAGCCAUGUCACAGUUCUUAGGGGCCCGGUGCGCCAUUAACACAGUUUCCCACACACACACACACAGAGCCCAGUGACCAUUUUACUGCUCUUAAACAGUUUUUGUAGAUUUGGCCCCUUUUAAAGAGGCCAAGAGUUGACAGGGAACUAGGCCAAAGUGUGUCUAUGAGUAUAUGAACGUGACUGUAUUGUUUAAGCCAAGUGACAUAUGUUCAGUGAAAGACCCUAGUAAAUUAAAGUAGAGUGGCCAAUGUGAAGUGAUCUUUGUUGGUGUUUAGUUGAGGGCGUGGUGUCACUGUACCUCCAACGGGUGGCAGUCAUGUGCCAGGCAGUGUAACCAUAGAGGCCCUCGGUGGUGAAAUUAAAAAGGUUCUAGGUUUUAUUUUUAUCUGAAUAACUUUCAAUCAACACUAGAACUAGGUUUUAACAUUUAACACGUGGAAUUAGCAAUACAGAUGAUCCUAUCUCUGAUGAAUCAAUCUAUUUACAUGAUGUCAACUGUUUUUGGAUGCACUAUUUGAGCCAUUAGCGUUUUCUCACUUGCACAUUUCUCUGUAGUCUGUGCACCUUCCUUCCACCGCAUACCUUCCCAUGUUUUUUUUUGAUGCAUCGUACACAAGUUAUGUGUUUGUUACUGUAUAGCUUCAAACCCCAUGUUAACCAGUAACAUUGAAAUACAUGUUUUCUCUUCAUCACCCUUAGGGUACUUUCUGUGUGGAGGUAAAAUAUCUCAAACAACUAUCUGUUGGGUUGACUGAUAUUACUUAUUCCCUUGUGUUGGACUAUAUUUCACAGCUUCGAUAAAUCAAUAUAUCAGAGCCUU